CGGCAUUUUCUCUUAGAGAUUCCGCGAUUUAACUGAAAAUCACACAUUUUCUCUUGAAAAAUCCCCUAUUUACCCGAAAAUCACGCCUUUUCUUUGCAAAUAUCCCCCACUUAACACAAAAAUCAUGCCUUUUCUCUAUGAAAAUCCCCCAUCUAAAAAGAAAAUCAUGCAUUUUCGUUUGGAAAAUCCCCCAUUUAAGUGAAAAUCACGCAUUUUGGCUUCGAAAACCCCCAGUUUAACCUGAAACGAAGCAUUUCCUCUUCGAAAACCCCCCAUUUUACCCGAAAAUCACGCAUUUCCCUUCCAAAAUACCCCAUUUAAACAAAAAUCACACAUUUCUCUUUGAGAAUCCCUGAUUUAAACGGAAAAUCACGCAUAUUCUCUUCAAAAAUUGCUGUUCAAACCAAAAAUUGCCGUUUUCUCUUCAACAAUCCCCCGUUUAACCCCAACAUCACGCAUUUUCUCUUGGAAAACCCCCCUUUAACUCAAAAAUCUCACCUUUUCUCUUGGAAAAUACGCAUUACCCCCAAAUCAUGCAUUUUCUCUCCAAAAAUACCCCAUUAUCCCCAAAAUCACACAUUUUCUCUCAGAAAUCCCCCUUUUAACCCCCAAAUCAUGCAUUUUCUCUUGCAAAAUCCCACAUUUUCCACAAAAUCUUGCAUUUUCUCUCCAAAAUACCCCAUUAUCCCCAAAAUCACACAUUUUCUCUUGGAAAAUCCCACAUUUACCCCCAAAUCAUGCUUUAUCUCUUCAAAAAUACCCCAUUAUCCCCCAAAUCACACAUUUUCUCCUCAGAAAUCCCCCAUUACCCCCAAAUCACACAUUUUCUCUUGGAAAAUCCCCAUUUACCCCCAAAUCAUGCUUAUCUCUCAAAAAACCCCAUUCCCCAAAUCACCAUUUUCUCUAGGAAAAUCCCCCAUUUAACUCGGAAAUCACACUUUUGCUCUUCAAAUAUCCCCCAUUACCCCCAAAUCAACAUUUUUGCUACAAGAAUCCCCCAUGUAUCCAAAAAACCACGCAUUUCCUCUACAAAAAUCUCACAUGUAAACGAAAAUCAUGCAUUUUCUCUUCCAAAAUACCCCAUUAUCCCCCAAAUCACACAUUUUCUCUAGGAAAAUCCCCCAUUUAACUCGGAAAUCACACUUUUGCUCUUCAAAUAUCCCCCAUUUGACCCCAAAUCAAACAUUUUUGCUACAAGAAUCCCCCAUGUAUCCAAAAAACACGCAUUUCCUCUACAAAAAUCUCACAUGUAAACGAAACUCAUGCAAUUUCUCUUCGAGAAUCCCCAUUUAACCAGUAGAAAAUGCAUUUCUCUUCGAGAAUCCCCCAUUCAACCCGAAAAUGAUGCAUUUCUCUUCAAGAAUCCCUGAUUUAUCCCGAAUAUCACGCAUUUUCUCUUCAAAAAUCUCCCAUGUAACCUGAAAAUCACGCAUUAUCUCUACGAAAAUCACACAUUUAAUGCCAACAUCAGGCAUUUUCUCUUAGAGAUUCCGCGAUUUAACUGAAAAUCACACAUUUUCUCUUGAAAAAUCCCCUAUUUACCCGAAAAUCACGCCUUUUCUUUGCAAAUAUCCCCCACUUACACAAAAAUCAUGCCUUUUCUCUAUGAAAAUCCCCCAUCUAAAAAGAAAAUCAUGCAUUUUCGUUUGGAAAAUCCCCCAUUUAAGUGAAAAUCACGCAUUUGGCUUCGAAAACCCCCCAGUUUAACCUGAAACGAAGCAUUUCCUCUUCGAAAACCCCCCAUUUUACCCGAAAAUCACGCAUUUUCCCUUCCAAAAUACCCCAUUUAAACAAAAAUCACACAUUUGCUCUUUGAGAAUCCCUGAUUUAAACUGAAAAUCACGCAUAUUCUCUUCAAAAAUUGCUGUUCAAACCAAAAAUUGCGCGUUUUCUCUUCAACAAUCCCCCGUUUAACCCCAACAUCACGCAUUUUCUCUUGGAAAACCCCCCGUUUAACUCAAAAAUCUCACCUUUUCUCUUGGAAAAUACGCAUUUACCCCAAAUCAUGCAUUUCUCUCCAAAAAUACCCCAUUAUCCCCAAAAUCACACAUUUUCUCCUCAGAAAUCCCCCUUUUAACCCCCAAAUCAUGCAUUUUCUCUUGCAAAUCCCACAUUUCCACAAAAUCUUGCAUUUUCUCUCCAAAAUACCCCAUUAUCCCCAAAAUCACACAUUUUCUCUGGAAAAUCCCACAUUUACCCCCAAAUCAUGCUUUAUCUCUUCAAAAAUACCCCAUUAUCCCCCAAAUCACACAUUUUCUCUAGGAAAAUCCCCCAUUAACUCGGAAAUCACACUUUUGCUCUUCAAUAUCCCCCAUUUGACCCCAAAUCAAACAUUUUUGCUACAAGAAUCCCCCAUGUAUCCAAAAAAACACGCAUUUCCUCUACAAAAAUCUCACAUGUAAACGAAACUCAUGCAUUUCUCUUCGAGAAUCCCCAUUUAACCAGUAGAAAAUGCAUUUCUCUUCGAGAAUCCCCAUUCAACCCGAAAAUGAUGCAUUUUCUCUUCAAGAGUCCCUGAUUUAUCCCGAAUAUCACGCAUUUUCUCUUCAAAAAUCUCCCAUGUAACCUGAAAAUCACGCAUUAUCUCUACGAAAAUCACACAUUUAAUGCAACAUCAGGCAUUUUCUCUUAGAGAUUCCGCGAUUUAACUGAAAAUCACACAUUUUCUCUUGAAAAAUCCCCUAUUUAACCCGAAAAUCACGCCUUUUCUUUGCAAAUAUCCCCCACUUAACACAAAAAUCAUGCCUUUUCUCUAUGAAAAUCCCCCAUCUAAAAAGAAAAUCAUGCAUUUUCGUUUGGAAAAUCCCCCAUUUAAGUGAAAAUCACGCAUUUGGCUUCGAAAACCCCCAUUUAACCUGAAACGAAGCAUUUCCUCUUCGAAAACCCCCCAUUUUUCCCGAAAAUCACGCAUUUUCCCUUCCAAAAUACCCAUUAAACAAAAAUCACACAUUUGCUCUUUGAGAAUCCCUGAUUUAAACUGAAAAUCACGCAUAUUCUCUUCAAAAAUUGCUGUUCAAACCAAAAAUUGCACGUUUUCUCUUCAACAAUCCCCCGUUUAACCCCAACAUCACGCAUUUUCUCUUGGAAAACCCCCCGUUUAACUCAAAAAUCUCACCUUUCUCUUGGAAAAUACGCAUUUAC
rnacentral:lncRNA from 7 species